GUCAAGUACCAUCUUUCCUGGACGAGCCAGGAACCUGUUAUUUUCCUUAAGGCACAGAUCAUACAAUCUUUGAGAGUAAAAGGAUGGAUCAAGACCACAGGAAAGAAGGGAUGAAGCUGUGGAGAGUGAGGAUGAGGAACAUUGCAGAUGACUGGAGGCCAGCUCCCUGACCUUCCCCUACUGCCACUGCUGCAGGCCCUGGUCAGGGGAAGUAAAACUGACACUAGCUGUUUAUCAUGCUUUAAGACCAGAAAGUAAAAUGAAAACCAUUACCACCUCUCAGGAUGCAAGAAGGCACAAGAAAGGACUAAACCAGUUGAAGAUGUUAUCUCAAUGGAAGAAGGAAUCCUAAUUAAAUUGAAGUCUUAACAAAAAGACGGUCUAUUUCACAAGACUGAUAGAGACAUAUACUUGAUGAGUCAACUUGGUCUUUUCAAGGCUUUACUCUGGCUUCUCUUCUAUUUAUGUGUACGAUUAGAAGGAUAAACAGCCUAUAAGAGCUUGCUAUCUACCAAAUCCAACCAUGCAGUCUUAAAAAUUACUUCUGGGUUUACAGAUAAUUCUUGUAUCA
rnacentral:lncRNA from 1 species